rnacentral:lncRNA from 1 species
AGGAAUUGAAAAGAAAGGUUUUCUAAAUUUUUAAACAAAAAUAACAUUCAAAAUUCCAAGCAAUCCUUUUGACAGAAAUUCAAAAGAAAACCCAAAUAACAACUCAAAAGAGGCAUUUUUUGAGUGGGCACACAAAAAUGCCCUGGACACUGAAUAAAGAGAAAUUCCAGACAAAAACUCAAAAGAAAUGAAUUUUGAAUUAAGAGAUAAAGAUGCUCUGGACACUGAAGUUAGUGAUCCAAACAUCAAUCAAAAAGAUAAUUUUGUUGAGAGCAUAAACAAAAAUGCUCUGGACAUUGAUCAAAGAGAAGCUAGGUUCAGACAGAAACUCAAAAGAAAUGAAUUUUUCGUUAAGAGAUAAAGAUGCUCUGGACACU